AACGAACGCUGGCGGCAUGCCUAACACAUGCAAGUCGAACGAGACCUUCGGGUCUAGUGGCGCACGGGUGCGUAACGCGUGGGAAUCUGUCCUUGGGUUCGGAAUAACUCGCCGAAAGGCGUGCUAAUACCGGAUGAUGACGUAAGUCCAAAGAUUUAUCGCCCAAGGAUGAGCCCGCGUUGGAUUAGCUAGUUGGUGAGGUAAAGGCUCACCAAGGCGACGAUCCAUAGCUGGUCUGAGAGGAUGAUCAGCCACACUGGGACUGAGACACGGCCCAGACCCCUACGGGAGGCAGCAGUGGGGAAAAUUGGAAAAGGGGGGAAAGCCUGAUCCAGCAAUGCCGGGGGAGGUAUGAAGGCCUUAGGGUUGUAAAGCUUUUUUACCCGGGAUGAUAAUGACCGUACCGGGAGAAUAAGCCCCGGCUAACUCCGU
rnacentral:rRNA from 1 species